rnacentral:rRNA from 1 species
UAAAGUCAAAUUAAUUGGUUAAAGCUAAUAAAUUACUACUAUUAAGUACAACAACUCUACUUAUUAUUGUAAGAGUAAAAUCUUUAUAAAUAAGAUAGGAAUGUGUUAAUGUAACAUUAAUUCUCUUACGAGGCGCUAGCAUAAAGACUAGGAUUAGAUACCCUAUUAUGGGCGUGAGUAUGAAAGUUUAUUAAGUUAAUAGCCUUAAUUAAAGCAAAAUCUAUUUACUAUGGCGGCUGUUAGUCUCACCAGAGUCGUAUGUCCUUAAACGAAACUGCGCGAUCAUCUUACCUUUUAACUUUUGCUAAUAUGAAAUAAUUACAUUAUAGCAAUCUGGCACGUCGCUGUGCUAAAAGUGAAGAUUUUAAAUAACUCAUCUUCUAAUUACUUAUUAGCAUUUAUUAAUAAUGUACAAGUCAAGACGCCGUUUUAAGAGGCUUAAGAUGUACGAUUUAAUUGAUUUGAUAGAAUUCAUAAGAAUGAAAACUUUCUUUAUUAAAAUAAUUUGGAAGUAAAAUAGGGUUAUUAUUCUUAUUUGAAAUGAGCUACUAAUAAGU